CUAGGCAAGCAACGGGCAAUGGUACCAAAUGAAUGAUUCAAUGGCGCACUCUAGUAACAUCAAGGUGGUGUUGAACCAACAGGCCUACGUGCUUUUCUACCUGAGGAUCCCUGAAACAAAGAAGAAUGCAGAUGGACAGAGUACCAAGCAGGGCAUGUUGCAUCCUGGGAAGAACAGUGUGUCGUCUGAGCAGAUUAAGAGGGCCAAUCUGAACGGGCCUCUCUCCUCCCCGCAGAUCACUAAG